rnacentral:lncRNA from 1 species
UCCUCGUCAGGCUCUGAGGUCGCCGGCCAGUCUGGCCUCUCCUCUCUGCGCUCAGUGUUGUGUGUUUGAUGCCUAGUGUUUCAGGUGUACUUAGGGGAGCAGAAGAGGAAGGCAGACCUCCUCCCUCUUCCCAGAUGCAGACGUCCUGUGGUUAACUUUUAAAUGUCUUUGCCAAAGAACAGACACAGCAAGUGGGGAGCAGGAAGUCUGGGCUUUGUAUGCAAAUUCACCAUCACAUCCGUUCAGAUCCAUCUCCAGAGAGGACUCCGAUUCCUUUCCUGCUGGCGGAGCUCAGGAGCUGACUUCUCUGGGUGGAGGGUCUCCAGCAGGGCCAUGCCACGUGCCUCGUCUCCCUCGGGGACGUCUCUGCAGGCUACUGCUUGGAAGUGCUGGCGUGUUGAACCCAAGAGACUUUGCACCCAGAAGCUUUCUCAUCCUGAUCAGCCUGUUUUCAAGUAUUUUCGGAAUAGAACAGCAAGGACAUUGGUUUUACUUCUGCAUUUGAAGAAUGGACCUGCACAGGGAACCAACUCUGAAGCAGCCUUUCUUUCCAAGAUGCUCAGCCUGUGUGCCUGCAUGCAGCCUGUGUGCAAUCUGUGUGCAUCCUGUGUGCUGGAGCAGCGGCUGGUGAUUAGAAGUCCCGGCUAUUUUCUGGGGUCAACAGCAGAUCCAAGAUCAUCUCAGCAACUCUCUGCCUGAAAACAAGCUCUGGGAGGGCACCGCCCAGGUCACCUCCGGCUUCUGGAGCAAUGGUGCUGGAAGGGCUCAACCCCCGGACCCAGGCUUCGGGAUCCAUUAAAACGUGAAGUCACCUGCGCCCUGAGCAGGCGCUGUUGCAGGAGAGCGCCUUGGCCAUGGCCCCCAGCGGACACCCCGCCAGGCUCUUCCAGCUCCGCUCAUGAGGGGAAAGUUCAAAGCCAAACAGAGUUGUUUCCUCUGCUGCCCGCGUGCACUCUCUGGGGACCUAAUCACAGCGCCCCUGCCCCAAGCAUCUACCAUCACUCCGCAAACACUCUUUNNNNNNNNNNNNNNNNNNNNNNNNNNNGGCUCCAGCUUUCUACCUGCUCCACAGUCUGAAUCUUGGCAAUUUGGGGUUUGCAACGAAGCACGAGGAACAUAAAUGAACUGUUUGACGGACCCCAGACCCCGAAGGAACUGCACUGGAUGCUGAGCAAACUGAAGAAGGAGGCUUCAGGUAUAUUUGAAAGGAAACCACGAUCUGCUCUUAAUGCUCAGAGGCGGCUGGAACUGUCAGCGUUAUCCUACCACCCAGGGCAAGAUGACAUGGUCACACUCCUCCUCCUGGGCUCCUGAAUCCACGGGUGACACACAAGACAGGAAAUCGCCAACUGCUUUCCGCCACGGCCGCUGCGCUCUCGUCCUCGUUGUCUACGACCUGAGUUCUUUUGAAAGAACUGGCGCCAUGUCCUCACCCGAGUGCUGACAGGUGCUUACCACACCUGAGUCGUCCGUCAGGCAGCUGCUCAAGUCACCUUGGGGCUUCUGCCCAUCGCUGCAGCCAUCCUGUCCCCUUGAUGCUUUGUGGUCAUUGUCAUGGGGGCCAAAUGCAGCGCCGAGGGGACUGCUGUGCAAGUCAGGACUGAUCUGGCUUCUACUCAGUCUAGAAUUUCGCCCCAUAUGACCACGAGCUGCCCGCACACACAAGGAGGAGAGGAGCCAGGCUGGGCUCUUGCGCACUUUACCUGUCAGCAGUCCUCAGUCUUCUGCCGAGCAGUGACAGAGACCCUUUCUCGCUCAGCCUCCCGCCUGCGUGACCUAAUCAGGUGAAUUCCUCCGUGACAUAGAUGGUAACCCACUGUCCUUGCAGUCAGAUCAAGGCUUAAAAAGGAUACAGUCUUGAGCAAGAUCACAGGACCAGCAGGAGCCCAGGUUCGCUCUCCAGCCUUGCAGGUUUGCAGCAAGAUCCAGGCAUCAGUUCUGUGUCCGAAGGCAGCUGCUGGUCUGCAAGAGGCUGGGACCACCCCGUCUCCCUGCCCUGCAGGGGCUCUGCCUCAUCCACAGGAGCCUCUCCAUCCUCUUCCCCAAGUCUGCAGCAACUCGGCUCUGCGUCCUGGAUGUGUGGGGACACUCCCGGCAGGAGCUGCCAUUGCUGUUGAAGUCCCUGUGACUGGCCAGGAUGCUUUGUAACAGCUGGUGUCCUCUUGGCCGCCUGGGAACCACCGGCCGUGUCUGAAUUGCUAAGCCUUUGCACCAGAGCAAACAGAAGCUUGCCCUGCUCCCCAAAAACAAACCUGAUGAUGGUGGCACCCGUUUUCAAAGCGUCUUUCAGGCCCAGAACUGCAGCUUUUGGGAAGCCCUGCUUGCCCGGGGCCGAGGGGUCGCGUCAGGAAGCCUGGUCUUGGGCUGGCCUCCGCGUUGUGUUGUCUGCACUUGAGCCAGACCUCUUUCAGUGGCCGCCCACCCUCUGACACAGUUGCAUGUGGACUUCAUUUGUUCUACGAAACGGUGGUGUUUCGAGCCAACGCUGUGAUCUUGUCCUCAGGCGCCUCCCCGUGUAGCCUUCACAGUGGAGGCCCCCGUCCGGGCCACAUCUUGGAAACACUGGGCUGCUCUCUAAUGGCCACAGAGGUUGCUCGUUUCUGAAAAUGUAAGACGUAACUGCCCGGGAAGGGACGUGAAGCUUCUACCAUGGGCUUUCUUAUCCUGUCGAGCUGCACAUUCCAUCUGGUACAAGUUAGGGUUUUGUGGCUAGUGCGCUAAAAACCUGUGAGUCCUGAAGCCCUAAAUGUUACUUACAAGUACCACUCCUGAAGGCCAGUGGGAGGAGGCCCUAGUGGAACCCUGCGGUCCCCAUCUGCAGUGGAGGGGGUCCUAGCGGAACCCCUGUGGUCCCCAGCCUCCAGGGCCUCAUCUUAGGAAGCAGGAAAUAGCUGAAGUUCACUUGCACAGCUCCUCGUGAUGUCAGUUUCUCAGCAGAGACUGCCAAAGCCCUUCCAACCUUAUCAAUGGAAUAAUCUUAUUUAACGUCAAUCAAACUCACCAUGCACUUCAGGGAGAGUCCAUUUUCUUGUCUAUCUUUUGAAGACAGAUUCUGUGCAGUGCACUUACACUGCAGACUGGAAGCAAAGGCGUAGAAUUUGCCUCCCGUCUUCUCUGGCAAAAACAUAUGCGUCUCGGGAAGUUUCCAGGAAUGCAAGUGUCCCUGGCUAACUGCUUUUUGUCUGCGAGGCCCCUUCUUGAUUUCCUCUGGUAAACAGCAUAAACAGGCCAUGCCUUCUCGUGUUGGGCCCAUAGUGGUGUCCCAACAGCUCCCCAGGAACUGGCGUUCCCUCGAGCACCCAAACCCACACGGCAAGAGGUUUUCCAACAGCACCCGCCUUGGGAUUCACCACUGAUUCAUUCAGCAAGUGUUUACUAAGCCCCAGUUCUGUGCAAGGCCGCGGAGGACAAGAGUGACUAAGAGUGGCGAGAUCUAUGCCUUCACGGACUUACAUUCCUGUAGAAUGAAAGCAGCCAUCAAGCAAAUAAGCUGAAAACUGCAGAGACUUUGCGCAGGGCAGUGUGAGGCUGGCCGGGUGCAGCGUCCCCCGUGGAGGCUGUGCUAAGACCUCAGUUCCCUCCCGGGCCACCGAGGCUAUUUAGUAAACAGCAAGGCUGCAGUGAUGGGAUGAUGGUACCUUGUAGGUUUUGGUCCCUCAGUUCACGCUGUCUCCUGCUUUCUCAGAGCCUGACUGAGGGAAGUGUUAACUCCUCUCUGGGGAUGGAGGCCUUCGGAGGAAGGGGAGGGCUGGAUCAGAGCCUGGGGUGGAAACAGGGGUCCCUGCCUGGUCUCUGAUGUCACAGCAGAGGGAGGAGAGCUCCCCCAGAGACCCAUCUUGACGGUGGGUGCGAGCCAUGCCCGCGCCUGGAGAUGCCAAGGGGACUCAGGAGCAGCUGGGGGCUCUGGGCUCCGAGCGCUAAGCCUGAUGCCCAGGCCUGUGCCAGGGUGGCCAGGUGGACAGAGGGAGCUGGGCUGCAGCCAGGAGUGUCCAGUGUGGCCCUUGCAGAGAGGGGCCCAGGCCCUCAUGGGGCUCAGCCUCCCUGCCCCCACCCCACUUCUGGAGCUGUCCCCCCAGGUGUCACCAGAGCCACCAGCGUGGCGGACCCAGCGCCGCCCUCCCCUGCACCCACACUGCAGGCAGCACAGCGACUCUGGAGGACGCGUGGCUCUGCAGCCCAGGACGUGCCCCGACCGCACCUGCAGGCCUCCCUCUUCUGGGGCCGUGGGCACUGGCUCCCUGCACCUGCCGUGGGCGCGCCUUCCUCCGGGCCGCAUACCUGGCACUGGGGUGCAGGCCCUGGCCUGCUCCACAUCCUGCUCUGCCUGCCUGCGGGCGUCUCCUCCUGCAGUCACCCCGAGCCUCUUGCACCACCAGGGUUUCCUGCCCCACCUGGCGGUGAGGUGGGGGCGGCUCCACCCUCUGCCUUCCAUCCACACAGCCCACAGCAACCUCCCUUCGGCCGUCUGCUGCAUGUCAAUCCUUUGCUUACUGUGGUUUUUCAAGAAGCAAACUGAUGACGAUGCUGUGGGCUCCAACUGCACAACACCCUGGACGAGAGGGAGGGGGCGGGGGGAACAGGGGUCUGUGAUGGUGGGAAGGUACCUGGAGGGCAUGGCUGGUGGUCCUUCCCUGUCAGAACCAACACACAAGCUCUUUGUAAAAUCAAGUUCUCUUUGCUCCUGGACCUUAAACAUCGCGGUCGUGGUUUCCAGCCCUAAGGGACCACAGGGAUGGGUGUGUUCAGAGUGGGCCGGCUCAGGGAUGCUGAGAAACAAGGGACAGCAUGCCGCUCAGACUGCACAGGUGGGAGCUGGGCCAUCUGCUGAGGCUUCUGCCUCUCGGAGCGCCGCCCACCAUCCCACUGGCCCCCAGGGCUUGACUGCGGGGCCUCUGUGUUCGUGCUUCUCUCCCAGCGAUAACAUGGCAGAAGGCUUUCUACGGAUGGCCGAGUCCACACCACCAGCUUUUCUGACCUCAGCAGCGACUGAAGUGCUCAAAGGGCUCGCCAUGGGGGGAGUGGAAAAUCUUGUUUCUUGCUUUAUUGGAAUUUUCCAC